rnacentral:rRNA from 1 species
UACGUAGGGUGCAAGCGUUGUCCGGAAUUAUUGGGCGUAAAGAGCUCGUAGGCGGUCUGUCGCGUCGAUCGUGAAAACUUGGGGCUUAACCCUGAGCUUGCGGUCGAUACGGGCAUGACUGGAGUUCGGCAGGGGAGACUGGAAUUCCUGGUGUAGCGGUGAAAUGCGCAGAUAUCAGGAGGAACACCGGUGGCGAAGGCGGGUCUCUGGGCCGAUACUGACGCUGAGGCGCGAAAGCUAGGGGAGCGAACAGG